rnacentral:rRNA from 1 species
UCCAGACUCCUACGGGAGGCAGCAGUGGGGGAUAUUGCACAAUGGGGGGAACCCUGAUGCAGCGACGCCGCGUGAGUGAAGAAGUAAUUCGUUAUGUAAAGCUCUAUCAGCAGGGAAGAAUAAAUGACGGUACCUGAGUAAGAAGCCCCGGCUAACUACGUGCCAGCAGCCGCGGUAAUACGGAGGAUGCGAGCGUUAUCCGGAUUUAUUGGGUUUAAAGGGUGCGCAGGCGGAGGUGCAAGUCAGUGGUCAAAUUGCGGGGCUCAACCCCGUACUGCCGUUGAAACUGCAUCCCUUGAGUGCGCGAGAAGUAUGCGGAAUGCGUGGUGUAGCGGUGAAAUGCAUAGAUAUCACGCAGAACUCCGAUUGCGAAGGCAGCAUACCGGCGCGCAACUGACGCUCAUGCACGAAAGCGUGGGGAUCGAACAGGAUUAGAUACCCGGGUAUCA